GCUGGGUGUGGUGGCGGGCACCUGUAAUCCCAGCUACUUAGGAGGCUGAAGCAGGAGAAUUGCUUGAACUCGGGAGGCGGAGGUUGCAGUGAGCUGAGAUCGUGCCACUGCACUCCAGCCUGGGUGACAGAGCAAGACUCUGUCUCAA
ensembl:misc_RNA Metazoa_SRP Metazoan signal recognition particle RNA